UAGUCCACGCAGUAAACGAUGAGUGCUAGUUGUCGGGAUUUUUCUCGGUGGCGAAGCUAACGCGUUAAGCACUCCGCCUGGGGAGUACGGCCGCAAGGCUAAAACUCAAAGGAAUUGACGGAGACCCGCACAAGCAGUGGAGCAUGUGGUUUAAUUCGAUGAUACGCGAGAAACCUUACCAGCUCUUGAAUCCUGAUUACGAUUUUCAGAGAUGAAUUUUUCAGUUCGGCUGGAUCAGUGACAGGUGUUGCAUGGCUGUCGUCAGCUCGUGUCGUGAGAUGUUCGGUUAAGUCCGGCAACGAGCGCAACCCACACCCUUAGUUGCCAGCCUUUAGUUGGGCACUCUAGGGGAACUGCCCGUGAUAAGCGGGAGGAAGGUGUGGAUGACGUCAAGUCCUCAUGGCCCUUACGGGUUGGGCUACACACGUGCUACAAUGGCAUCUACAGUGGGUUAAUCCCAAAAAGAUGUCUCAGUUCGGAUUGUCGUCUGCAA
rnacentral:rRNA from 1 species